UCAUCUGCUAUGAACAUGGACAAUAAUUCCCCCAGCCUUGAAUUUUCUGUUUCAGUCUCGGAAGCCAUGUAUUGAGGACCAUUAGUUGAGGUAGUAACGAGUUGUUCCAUCCGAUUAUUAAAAUUUUGGGUUGACAGCUCUUGGCUAAUCCUCAUCUCCUCUAGGUCUGCUAUGCCCUUCAAUAUUACAUCCAUCGGAUUUGGCUUUUCUUCUUGUGGCAAUGGGGGUGGACAUAAAAAUUCCAGUGUGUAUGAUGAAUUUAGAGCUUAAUGUUGGUCAUCAUAAUUGUAGCUCCAUGAAAAUUUUGGGUGAUACCCCCAAUCUUGGUGAUAGUUAGGAUCAACAUAGUUGUUGAGGUAAUCACCACUAUAUUGUACCGAUUCAAAACUGACGGUGCAUUGAUGACUUUGGUGGUUGCCAGCACAAUAGUCACACGUAACUGCUGUGGCGACCCCAAAUCCGGAUACUUGAAACCCGAACUCGGUUCUCCACGAUACCAUUUUUUUAAGCUGAAUAAUACUAAAUAAUAAUACAUUCGAACUUAAUUUACAUACAUCAAAGUUUACUUCCCCAGGUACGUGACCUUCAAAUACAUUCCUUACAAUAUCUGACAAUAGAUUUCAUUGUCUUACUAACUAUAACCAUUAACUCAUACUAAAUCUCAUUCGAAUAGCUUUUCUUUUCCCUUGUUCGUGCCUGAGCCUUCAGGUCGAUCGUANNN
rnacentral:lncRNA from 1 species